rnacentral:rRNA from 1 species
AUUGAACGCUGGCGGCAUGCCUUACACAUGCAAGUCGAACGGCAGCACGGGUGCUUGCACCUGGUGGCGAGUGGCGAACGGGUGAGUAAUACAUCGGAACAUGUCCUGUAGUGGGGGAUAGCCCGGCGAAAGCCGGAUUAAUACCGCAUACGAUCUACGGAUGAAAGCGGGGGACCUUCGGGCCUCGCGCUAUAGGGUUGGCCGAUGGCUGAUUAGCUAGUUGGUGGGGUAAAGGCCUACCAAGGCGACGAUCAGUAGCUGGUCUGAGAGGACGACCAGCCACACUGGGACUGAGACACGGCCCAGACUCCUACGGGAGGCAGCAGUGGGGAAUUUUGGACAAUGGGCGAAAGCCUGAUCCAGCAAUGCCGCGUGUGUGAAGAAGGCCUUCGGGUUGUAAAGCACUUUCGUCCGGAAAGAAAUCCUUGGCCCUAAUACGGUCGGGGGAUGACGGUACCGGAAGAAUAAGCACCGGCUAACUACGUG